rnacentral:rRNA from 1 species
GCCGCGUGUGUGACGAAGGCCUUCGGGUCGUAAAGCACUGUCAGCCGGGAAGAAGACAUGCGUAUAAAUUACGCGUGUGUUGACGGUACCGGCGAAGGAAGCACCGGCCAACUCCGUGCCAGCAGCCGCGGUAAUACGGAGGAGGCAAGCGUUAUUCGGAAUUAUUGGGCGUAAAGCGUCCGCAGGGGGCUCAUCAAGUCUGCUGUCAAAGGUCGGAGCUCAACUCCGGUUCGGCAGUGGAAACUGGUGGGCUAGAGGGCGACAGGGGUAGAGGGAAUUCCCAGUGUAGCGGUGAAAUGCGUAGAGAUUGGGAAGAACACCGGUGGCGAAAGCGCUCUACUGGGUCGCACCUGACCCUCAGGGACGAAAGCUAAGGUAGCG